rnacentral:rRNA from 1 species
GAUGAACGCUGGCGGCGUGCCUAAUACAUGCAAGUCGAGCGAACAGACGAGGAGCUUGCUCCUCUGACGUUAGCGGCGGACGGGUGAGUAACACGUGGAUAACCUACCUAUAAGACUGGGAUAACUUCGGGAAACCGAAGCUAAUACCGGAUAAUAUAUUGAACCGCAUGGUUCAAUAGUGAAAGACGGUUUUGCUGUCACUUAUAGAUGGAUCCGCGCCGCAUUAGCUAGUUGGUAGGUAACGGCUUACCAAGGCAACGAUGCGUAGCCGACCUGAGAGGGUGAUCGGCCACACUGGAACUGAGACACGGUCCAGACUCCUACGGGAGGCAGCAGUAGGGAAUCUUCCGCAAUGGGCGAAAGCCUGACGGAGCAACGCCGCGUGAGUGAUGAAGGUCUUCGGAUCGUAAAACUCUGUUAUUAGGGAAGAACAAAUGUGUAAGUAACUAUGCACGUCUUGACGGUACCUAAUCAGAAAGCCACGGCUAACUACGUG